rnacentral:rRNA from 1 species
AGCAGCCGCGGUAAUUCCAGCUCCAAUAGCGUAUAUUAAAGUUGUUGCAGUUAAAAAGCUCGUAGUUGAAUUUCGGGAUCAGUUUGUUGGUCGUGCUUCGGUACGUACUGUCAUUACUGGUUUCUACCUUCUGAAGAACCUUGAUGUCAUUAAUUUGGUGUCUUGGGGGAUCAGGACUGUUACUUUGAAAAAAUUAGAGUGUUUAAAGCAAGCAUACGCUUGAAUACAUUAGCAUGGAAUAAUGAAAUAGGACGUUUGAUUCUAUUUUGUUGGUUUCUAGGAUCGACGUAAUGAUUAAUAGGGAUAGUUGGGGGCAUUAGUAUUCAAUUGUCAGAGGUGAAAUUCUUGGAUUUAUUGAAGACUAACUACUGCGAAAGCAUUUGCCAAGGAUGUUUUCAUUAAUCAAGAACGAAAGUUAGGGGAUCGAAGACGAUCAGAUACCGUCGUAGUCUUAACCAUAAACUAUGCCGACUAGGGAUCGGAUGAUGUUAUUUUUAAUGACUCAUUCGGCGCCUUACGG